GUUGUGCGUGAACGCGGCCUUGUGGUGGUUGUGCGCAUGCCGCUCGUGAUGUGUGCCGGGGCGCGGUCCUUCCACGGCCCGUAGAGAGCUCUCCUCUGCUCCUCCCCGUCACCUCGGACACGCCGGAGUGACCAGUGCUCUCUGAGGAUUAACCGCCCGUCCAUCAUGCUGACACACGCCAGGAAGGAGCUCAGCCUGGACGCCCAAGGAGGAGGAUCCUUGGACGCGUCCCGGCUGACGCUGCGGCCUGCCGCCCCGCUCGACCUGGUGGACGCCGGCACCCAGGUGGACCUCUCGGCCGACACGAUUGCCUACGACUCCGACGAUGACAUGAUGAAGCGCAAGAUCAGCGCGCUGCGAAGCCGCAAGGGUCACCCCAUCUACUCGCGCGAGGACAUCCGCGAACAGUACUGCAUCACGCGCAAGGAGAUCGCCGUGCUCGACGACAAAGGCGCCACCGCCCGCAGCCUGUUCGGGUGCCUGGCCGCGCAGGGAGCCACCGGAGGAGGCGGCGGAAGCCCCUGCAACGCGGCGCUCUUCUCCUGCGUCCAGCGAGCCUCGAGCGACGAGAACAUUCCGCCCCCGCCGCCGGCGACACAGUCAGGCGGCGCCAAGGACGACGAUGACGACUUCGCCAGCUCGGGGUUCCGGCGGCGGCCCAAGCCGUUCUGCCUGCAGGACCCGAAGUUGCGCUUCAGCAACCUCGACGCGGCCGACAGCGACUCGGUACGCGUCGUGGUUCACUCCAGGUCCUUCUCGGCACGACCCAGGCUGCAGAGCUGCAACAGCUACGGCAGCACGAGUCAGGGCAGCCUGGCGAGCAGCAGCAACCUGAGCUACGUGUCGCGAUGCGCCUCCCGACCGUCCAACCUGAGCUUCCAGUACGAUAGGGUCACGCUGGGCCAAUGUCACAGCGUGGACGCCCUGAACGACGCCUCCACGUGGAGGCGUCGCAGCGACGGCGGCGUCGCGGUGCCCGACGCGCUGCUCGACGAUCGCCGGCCGAAGCACGUCAGCUUCGACUCGAACGCGCUCGUGCGCAGUAACACAGUCGCCGGUGGACUGGAGGACGUCGAGCUCAGCCUUGGGGGACCCGCCGCCACGUCCACGCCGCUGGGGCGCCGCGCCGUAUCAACGCCGGACGGUUCCCAAGAAAGGCUCUUGGACGCUCGUCACUACCAAGAUUCUUUCGAGAGAGCCUCGUUCGGACGCCGACGGGCUCUGGUGAAGACGCAGGCCACGCAGACCGAGAGCGUCUACAACAGGACGAAGGCGUCGCUACCCGCCUACCUAACUCUGUCGCCGCGGGCGGCGCGCGGAGCUAAACACAAGGCAGCCCGGCGGCGCAAGGCCAAGGAUGCGCGCCGGGCUGGCACAUCCGUGAGCGACGACAGCGACGAGGACGUUAUGGAGGUCGACCUGGUGAGCAAGCAGCAAAGGCUGCUCCCGUCUCCCAAGCCUCACAAGCAUGGAAAAGCCAAGCAGGAUUCACUGAUGACCAACAAGUUCGAAGACGGUGAGGCGAAAAGUCCCCGCACCAAGGACCACAUGGAAGAGCUCAGCAGGGCGCUCUGUAAGAUCGACCUGCUGAGGGAAGCCAGGAGCAGUGCGAGACCUGCCCCCGUUGGCCACGAAGACGCCGUGCUGAACAGCCGGCGAGACUUGGGUAGCAAUUGCCAUUCAGGACCGCGAGUGGAACACCAGUCGAAUGCCAAGCAGUACCCUUCCAAGGAAUCCAGUAGGAGAGACGAAAAGCGGAGCAUUCACCCCGCGCAGCCUGAGGGACUGACGUCCCCGGAAAGCGAGUCGUCUAGCAGCCAGUUCACGGAGCGCGAAUCCUCGCGGAGCGAACGUUCCACCAGCAGUUCUGGACCUGCCGUGGCGGCCAAACUGCGAGAGGCAAACGCAGACGCCGGCCGGCAGGACACGACCAGCGAGAGCACUUCUGAAUACGUCACGGCCACCGAACAUUCCGCCAAAAUUCGAGAGUCGACAGAAACGAGCAGCACCAGUCAGGCCCGCCGCGACGGAACUGACACGUCCUUCGAGACAGCUUCAUCGGCCAGCCUCUUCAGCUCACCUUCAUCGAGGAAUGGCGCGCGUACAAAAACUCCUUCCCCCAAAGCUUCCUCGAGAGACGUGACUCGGGAUCCGGACGAAGCGGCCAUGUCCUCCGAAGAAACGGAGAAAGGCCAUAACGACUCGUCAGACGAAUCGACCAAGAAGGAAGAGCAGGUGCUCUCAUCGGAGUCCGGCGAGUACUCGCUGGGACGCGCUGAAGGAGUCGAUGAUGAAGAUGAAGACAGGACAGACAAGUCCGACGAUGAGGAAGGUGCUUUGGAGAGAGACGCCGACAGCAUACCCGCAUCCCAAGCCGACGAGUUUUCCGAAUGCGCCGCGCCGCCCCACCAGCCACCCGACUUGAUGCGCACGUCGUUCUUCGAUCAGGGAGGACCGUGCUCGUCUCGAAACGACGAAGACAGCGACGACAUGGAGCCCAUCAUGAUGCCAUUGAUGACGUUCCGCGACGUCCAGAACGCGAUAAGCCGCUCCGAAAUUCGACAAUACGACGAGCUGUCUACCGUGUCUGAGGUGUCAGAAGAGAACAGCAACUCUGACCAGCAAAUCACUGAACGAUACCAACCGCCGGUGCCAGAUGCUAUCAGCAAACCAGAGACACCACCUCCUCCGCUUCCUCCGUUGCCGCCGCCCACGGAAGAGCGGCAGCCGUUAGAAGGGCGGGCCGCACUUGAACAACGUCCACCUUCAGAAGGACGACCCCCGCCAUUAGAGCAGCCGGCAUCGGCAGGAGAAACAGAAUCACAGGAACGGCCAGCAGCGACUGAGCGGCUGACACCGCUGUCACCCGACCAGCCUAAAGAACCGUUCCAUUACUCGUCCUCCGAGUACCUCGACUCGGAAGUGACCACUCCGAGUUUCGACAGCGCCACGACGUCGUGUAGCUUCAACAUGGACCUGCCGCCGUCGGCUGCAGCAGAAACCUCGCUCGAGACGACAAGUCACGCGUCCAACCUGUCGACGACCCCGACCGACUCCGACAGCAAGAGCGCCGCGGUUGUCGAGGGCGAGCCGACGCGAAAUGACGACACCGACGUGACGGACAGCUCGACGUCGACGCAAAUCACGACUCGUAGGCGCCCGCCGGAGGCACCGAGGCAGCAGCCGGACGGCGGCGGUGCCAUCCCAAAACUGCAGGGGAUUGUCGGCGGCGUCGGCAGCACCGACCACCGACGUCGGCGCGAGCGCGCCUCUCGCGUCCGCUGGGAGAUACUGGACGCGGCGUGUUCCGCUCAGGUGGCGACUUCGGCCGAGGACAUCUGGAUGAGGCACCGGGAUCUUGGGGGGCGCCGUUCGCGCUCCCUCCCGCGCAGCCCUGAGAGCAGGGGCCUGGACUCGGUGAUGUGCAGCCAGUGCGGCGACAAAGUGCGCGAGCACCGCGUUCCCGGGCUCUACUCUUGGGAGCGGCCGCUGACCAGAGGACAUUGCCUGGACGGGCGUCGAUCGGCGCCGUGCCCGGAUUACGGGCACGUGCGGAUGCCGGCGCCGUACCCAGCGGCCGACUUUUACGACGACGAUGAGGACGAUGAGGACGCUGGUAUUCAUUCGAGAAGCUAUAGGCAGACAAGCUGGCUUUACAUUAACCGUGAACACGAAAUGUUGGCCUGGAAACAGCAUCUUAGGGGUAAUUCAGCCAGGAGAACUAGGAAAGAGAGCAGCAGCAGCAGCGUGUUGUCGGACUCCUCGCCUUCGUCCUCGUCCUCGUCCUCGCCGGCGCAGAGCCGCUCGAGCUCGCCGGAGUCGACCGAGUCGGAGCGCGAGUUCCGACGCCAGUACGUGACCCUCACGCAUCGCAUGAUCCACCGGAAGGCCAGCCUCGAGAUGUACCGCCGAAUUGCGCACCGCUGCUUCGGCCACCAAGACCGUGCGGAUCGAGAAGAGCAACGGAGAGUUCGGGUUCCGCAUUCACGGAAGCCACCCGGUCGUAGUAUCCGCCAUUGAGAAAGGAACGCCGGCACAGUCAUGCGGCUUGGAGGUGGGAGACAUCAUCAUCAGCAUAAACGGCAUCAGCGUGCUGGAGGCGAGUCACACCGAGGUGGUUCGGAUAGCUCACGCAGGCACCGAGGUGCUGGUGAUGGAGCUUGCGCGCAC
rnacentral:misc_RNA from 1 species